UGAGAUGAAGCACUGUAGCUCG
rnacentral:ncRNA from 8 species